ensembl:lncRNA
GUAUGAUAUCCUUAGGGGUGUUUCUGGGGUCUUCCCAAUAUAAACUGGGAGGUAUGAUAUCCUUAGGGGUGUUUCUGGGCUCUUCUGAAUAUAAACUGGGAGGUAUGAUAUCCUUAGGGGUGUUUCUGGGCUCUUCUGAAUAUAAACUGGGAGGUAUGAUAUCCUUAGGGGGGUUUCUGGGCUCUUCCCAAUAUAAACUGGGAGGUAUGAUAUCCUUAGGGGGGUUUCUGGGCUCUUCUGAAUAUAAACUGGGAGGGUUCGUUGGGCAAGGUGCCAGCUAAGCUAAGUCGAAAUGUCCGUGUUUGUUGCCACUAAUGUCUUAUGGGGGUAGAGUGUGAGGCAUUAAUAACAUGUCUGCCUCUACUCUCUCUGGCAGUGGCAGACAUUCGUGGUGUUGGAGCUCCCGGUCUGGCUGCUACUGGAGACACGAAGGCGUUUCCUUGACUUCAUCGGGUCUGGACACCGCUGGGUACGAGCUCCAAUGCUGUGACUAGUUCAAGUUCAAAUGUUUAUUUGUAAUUUGCAAGAACAAGUUACUGCAAUGAAAUGCUUGGUUUUCCUACUCCCGACAGUGCAGUUAAAAGUUGAAAAGUAGCAGUAAUUAUAAUUUUUUUAAAUAAGAAGAUAACACAAUCAAUCAGUAAUAACACUAUACAAAGAUAUGCAUCAAUAAUAAUAAAUAUACAACUAUACAACCGUAGUGCAAUGUAAAAGUGACAGGUGUGCAUGAUAUAAAGUGACAGGUGUGCAUGAUAUAAAGUGACAGGUGUGCAUGAUAUAAAGUGACAGGUGUACAUGAUAUAAAGUGACAGGUGUGCAUGAUAUAAAGUGACAGGUGUGCAUGAUAUAAAGUGACAGGUGUGCAUGAUAUAAAGUGACAGGUGUACAUGAUAUAAAGUGACAGGUGUGCAUGAUAUAAAGUGACAGGUGUACAUGAUAUAAAGUGACAGGUGUGCAUGAUAUAAAGUGACAAGUGUGCAUUAUAUAAAGUGACAGGUGUGCAUGAACUAUGGAUGGAAGGGAAGAGGGGAGCCAACUACCUGGUCAACAGGGGGGCCAAGGACCAUGGGACGUACAGAGGGCCUUGCUGUAGAGCCCAGGGGGUCUGGACUGUGACAGACAGCUGUUUGUAUACAAGCGGGAAUGGGUGGAUGGUACGGCACAACCUCUGUUCUGGAAAACACUGGAGCUUCUUAACCGUUUAUUCUGGGGGGAAAAGAGAAGAGAGAAAAUACUAUAAAGCUCAAAACAAGAAUAUUAUUACAGAAUGUUGUACUCAACCCACAUAUUGUUUUAUGUUGCUGGACUGAAUGUAAUAAGAGAGAGACUAUGAAAGUUAACUAAUACCACCUCAUGGUGUUAUUUUCUGCCCAGGAUAAAAGAUAAUAAGAGAUCCAGCACAAUUGGGUCCAUGCCUUCAGGUUGCCUUGAAAAUAAAUUAGAACCAGAGGGUAACAUCAGCUUAGAAAAUAUAUUGUUCAAG